AGAAAAAACGUUUAGAAGAUUCUGAGACCAGCAAAACCAAACCAGACCAAAUUUAGAGAUAAUACAAACUCGUUAUUUCAAGACAAAAAGAUGAUGGCUGCUGGUGAGGGAUCCUUUCAAAUCAUUGAAAUGGGGUUGGAGAAGGAAAUGAUUGAACUCGAUAUCUCCUCCGAGAUCAGAGAUUCAGCAGAUUCAGGAGAUUCAGGGAAAUCCGAAAAAUCAGUAGAACCAGGAGAAAAGGAGUGUCUGAAAGAAAAUGGAGAAGGAGAGAGAGAGGAGGUACAGGCACAUAAGAGACACUUACACAAGCCGGUAGAACAGGAGAAGGAUGAGGAGAAGGGGGUGGAGGAGAAGGAUGAGGAGAAGGGGGUGGAGGAGAAGGAGGAAUGGUGGGAAGAGGAGGAGUAUGAUGAGGAUUUGGAUUAUUAUGAGACUGAGGAUAAUAAUGACAGAUCUGAGGAUAGUCCAGCUACCGGCCCUACUCAGGUUGAUAUCCAGAGUUUGACGGAACCUGAAAGACUUCUGUUGGUAUUCUCCUGGGAGCUCCUCCAAGAUAAAGUCUCAAAUGUCGGGGUGAGUGCCUUCAAUGAACUGUUUCAGCUGAGUCCUCAAGCUGUACAAUUCUUCCCUAAACUAAACCAAGUUGAUCCAAAUAAAUAUGGAGGAAACACGGGAGAUGAGGAGAAGUUUACGGAGAUACUCCGAGAUCAUUCAAUAAGAAUACUGGGUAUAGUCGGACUCAUUAUACGAGACAUGUCAAAAAUGAAAGGCGAGGAUCCAAAGAACUACUACAGUUUCUACAAGUUUGCAUUCCAACUUGGAGAGAAACAUUUCCGUUACGGCGCUAACCCAAGACUAAUGGGACUCCUUGGAAUUGCAUUUGCGACUGCAAUGAGACAAACUCUGCUAGAGCUAGACAACUGUGAAGAGGUUGAGGACGCCUGGAAAUCUUUCUUCUCUGUGAUGACAAGUUGGAUGAGAAGAGGUUUCCUUUACGUUCAAAACAAGGGUCGGGAACCUGAUAUAUACAAGAUACCACUAGCUGAAGUUCUCCAGCACGAUGAGUGAUGACUACUUUAAAGCACGUUCUUUAUGAAGUUUCUCGAUGAAAAAGUUGUGAAGCCCUGCUAGGUCGCCAGCUAGAGAAAUGUUCGAACAGCAAAGUUGGGUCAAAGGACAGCUGAGGUUUAGAGAUCAUAAUCCAGGAUCCAAUCUGGCAUCAACAAGAUGGAUCAAGGAUUCUGAAUCUAAACUGAAACUCCAGAGUCUAAUUCAACCAUCACAGCUGGAAUAAAAACAUUGCAGAGUUGUUCAAUAAACAUUGGUCUGAUAAACAUUCCUGGCAGGGCAGUUGGGGGCUGGGGCCCCUUCCAAUGUUUAAUGACUGGCUCUGAUUAAACUUUUAAUAAAAACUUGAAAAAGAAAAAAGAUAAAAAGCCAGUAUAUUUUCCUAUAAUAUUGUGAAUCAAUGUAUUUUCAUCUCCCAGGGAGCAGCAUUACUUUUAUCAAAUUUCUUAUCGGGGGAAAUAAAUAGGGUAUUUGUCAGGAAAAUGUCUAUUUCUUACCAGAACUGGGAAUCUCGAGCGCUCGAUCUCGAUAUCCACAGUGAGCUCUUUCAUUUGAGGAUCAAUAUUUAAAGGGAGUGUUCGCGAAAAUGAAAGAGGACAAAGGUUAAAGUCGAAAAAUAUUCGAUGGUGAUUGCUUAUAUUCUUACUUCUAUCUGUUCGUCUAAAAGUAGACAAUUGCAGAUAAAAAGACUCAUACCGAAGAAGGCAGCGUCCAUUCGGAUCGUAAAAAAAUCAAUUUAAUUCCCAGCAAAUCUUUAUCAACCUUAAAUCAUCGAUUUUUUUCGACGCAUUCGUAUAAAGUUGAUACUUCAUAAUAUUUUUUAUUUGUUUUAUAUAGAAUGCACUUAAAACGACGAUUUUUUGUCCGCCUAGGCGUCUCAUGCCAUGUGGAACUAUGCAGAAACAUCGAGAGCAGAGACACCUGGCGGCCAACUAAUCGUCGGUUAACAUGCAUCAAUUAAACAAAUAAAAAAUACUAUGAAAUAUGCGUCGAAAUGCAUAAAAAAACGAUGAUUAAAGGUUGUGAUAUCUCUAAUAUCUGAAUGAUUUGUUUGGAAUUUGAUAUGAUUUGAUUUGAUCUUUUGCUUAGAGUAAUUCUUAGAGUUUGCAUUCCUCAAAUAUAUGUCGGAAAUAUCUAAACUCAAAAUUAAAUGUUGAUUUAAUUUUAUAUUUGUUUAAAAUUUAGAAUUUCCAAAUGUAUAAAGUCUGUGAACUAUUUAUUGCGUAGCAUCACUAGCUUUAGGUUUCAUUAAUGUGACUUAUGUACCGUACGUACAUUGUAUAUGUAGUGAACUGUACCAGGCUUUGGUUUAUUAAAUUAUUUGUUUAAACUUUAAAUAUACAUUCUCGUAUCGUUCUUUUAAUAUUUAAAUGGACAAAAAAUUCAAAACAAUUAAUUUUUAAAUCAAACGUGUGAGAAGUACACUGUGUAAUAAAAGAAAAUCACAUAAUAUUUGAUUACAAAUUAAAACUUUUGAAUGAAAUUUAAAUUAUACAAACUUCAUUGUCUGUGCUGCUGGAUUUGUCCAUGUUUAUCAUGUUUAUUCCCCAGUCAAUACCUGGAUUUGUCCAUGUUAAUCAUGUUUAUUCCCCAGUCAAUACCUGGAUUUGUCCAUGUUUAUCAUGUUUAUUCCCCUGUCAAUACCUGGAUUUGUCCAUGUUUAUCAUGUUUAUU